rnacentral:rRNA from 1 species
AUUGAACGCUGGCGGCAGGCUUAACACAUGCAAGUCGAGCGAGCGGCGGACGGGUGAGUAAUGUCUGGGAAACUGCCUGAUGGAGGGGGAUAACUACUGGAAACGGUAGCUAAUACCGCAUACCAUCAGAUGUGCCCAGAGGGGAGUAGCUAGUAGGUGGGGUAAUGGCUCACCUAGGCGACGAUCCCUAGCUGGUCUGAGGGGAUGACCAGCCACACGGGAACUGGGACACGGUCCAAACCCGGACGGGAGACAGCAGUGGGGAAUAUUGCGCAAUGGGCGCAAGCCUGUUGCAGCCAUGCCGGGUGUGUUAGGAGGGCCUUCGGGUUGUAAAGCACUUUCAUCGAGGGGGCGUUACUCACAGAAGAAGCACCGGCUAACUCCGUGCCAGCCGCCGCGGUAAUAC